UUACUUACCAGGCAGGGGAGGUACCCUUCUUGGCCUUAGCUAGAGGGUAGAGACCUGUCCAUUGCACUGUGGGCAGGCCACCCCUAUGAGAGUCUAUUAAAGCCUCUCAGUGGGAGGAUCUUGGCUACACAAUUUAUAGUGAUGGGGGACUGCUCUCAGGCUUUCCCUUU